GAAACACACAGCUGGCCCCAGCCCCAAGGGUGGCCCUGUGCCUCAGGCUGGGCUGCUGAGGAGGGCAGACAAGACAGGAUCAUCCUUGGGAAACAUCCUGGUGUGCACCAGCAGAGCCCCCAGGAUCCCCAACAGCACAAUGACGCAGGGGCUGAGGAUGCUCGGGAGAAGCUCCACAACCCCUGCAAGAGAGGACGUGUCCAGCACCGUGUGGGACAGACGGGGAGAGCAUGGGAGCAGCAACUCAUCUCACCAUCUUGUUGUCCUGUGUCCUCCUGACGUACACCCGGUACUGCCUCAUGUCCUCGUGGAUG